rnacentral:sRNA from 1 species
CUUUCCGGCUGGAAUGGGGAAUUUGUGAGGUAGGCCGGAAGUGGUGUUGCGGAGGGAACUGUGGGGAGAGCAGAGGGGCAGCUCUGCUGGAGAGACCUGAGGCUUGCAUCGCUGGGCCCGGCCGGGUCGCUGCGGCUGGGCUGGAGGUCAAGGAUGCAUUCCAGGAAAGUUCUAUAAAAAUAUACCAUCAACUCCAACCUGAUAUUUGACCUAGCCAUGGAAAACCUCAUUGGCUCCUCACUGGAUCAGACCAUAAAAAUGAUCCAGGAAUGAAAAUCUAAGAUAAAUUCCCACCACUUCAAGAUGUUCUUAUACAAGUCAACAGUCUAGCAGAUCAGCCAGUCUCUUUCAUCAUCAAGCAGACAUACUCAAGAAAGAGGAAUAGUGAAGUGAAAUACACAGAAGCAUGUUCAAGUUCAUCUGUUGAAUCUGGAAUUGUGAAUAGUGACAAUAUUGAGAAAAAUACUGACUCCAAUCUGCAAACUUCAACUUCAUUUGAGCCACAUUUCAAAAAGAAAAAAGAACAAGAACUGCACAGCCAUCUGGGAAGCCUUUAAAGUGGCGCUGGACAA